AGAGUUUGAUCAUGGCUCAGGACGAACGCUGGCGGCACGCUUAACACAUGCAAGUCGAACGAGAGAAGAGGAGCUUGCUUUUCUGAUCUAGUGGCGGACGGGUGAGUAACACGUGAGCAAUCUGCCUUUCAGAGGGGGAUACCGAUUGGAAAUGAUCGUUAAUACCGCAUAACAUAAUUGAACCGCAUGAUUUGAUUAUCAAAGAUUUAUCGCUGAAAGAUGAGCUCGCGUCUGAUUAGCUAGUUGGUAAGGUAACGGCUUACCAAGGCGACGAUCAGUAGCCGGACUGAGAGGUUGAUCGGCCACAUUGGGACUGAGACACGGCCCAGACUCCUACGGGAGGCAGCAGUGGGGAAUAUUGCACAAUGGAGGAAACUCUGAUGCAGCGAUGCCGCGUGAGGGAAGAAGGUUUUAGGAUUGUAAACCUCUGUCUUCAGGGACGAAAAAAGACGGUACCUGAGGAGGAAGCUCCGGCUAACUACGUGCCAGCAGCCGCGGUAAUACGUAGGGAGCGAGCGUUGUCCGGAAUUACUGGGUGUAAAGGGAGCGUAGGCGGGAUCGCAAGUCAGAUGUGAAAACUAUGGGCUUAACCCAUAAACUGCAUUUGAAACUGUGGUUCUUGAGUGAAGUAGAGGUAAGCGGAAUUCCUAGUGUAGCGGUGAAAUGCGUAGAUAUUAGGAGGAACAUCAGUGGCGAAGGCGGCUUACUGGGCUUUAACUGACGCUGAGGCUCGAAAGCGUGGGGAGCAAACAGGAUUAGAUACUCUGGUAGUCCACGCCGUAAACGAUGAUUACUAGGUGUGGGGGGACUGACCCCUUCCGUGCCGCAGCAAACGCAAUAAGUAAUCCACCUGGGGAGUACGACCGCAAGGUUGAAACUCAAAGGAAUUGACGGGGGCCCGCACAAGCAGUGGAGUAUGUGGAUUAAUUCGAAGCAACGCGAAGAACCUUACCAGGUCUUGACAUCGUAUGCAUAGCUCAGAGAUGAGUGAAAUCUCUUCGGAGACAUAUAGACAGGUGGUGCAUGGUUGUCGUCAGCACGUGUCGUGAGAUGUUGGGUUAAGUCCCGCAACGAGCGCAACCCUUACUGUUAGUUGCUACGCAAGAGCACUCUAGCAGGACUGCCGUUGACAAAACGGAGGAAGGUGGGGAUGACGUCAAAUCAUCAUGCCCCUUAUGACCUGGGCCUCACACGUACUACAAUGGCUGUCAACAGAGGGAAGCAAAGCCGCGAGGUGGAGCGAACCCCUAAAAGCAGUCUUAGUUCGGAUUGUAGGCUGCAACCCGCCUACAUGAAGUCGGAAUUGCUAGUAAUCGCAGAUCAGCAUGCUGCGGUGAAUACGUUCCCGGGCCUUGUACACACCGCCCGUCACGCCAUGGGAGUCGGUAACACCCGAAGCCUGUAGUCUAACCGCAAGGAGGACGCAGUCGAAGGUGGGAUUGAUGACUGGGGUGAAGUCGUAACAAGGUA
rnacentral:rRNA from 1 species